rnacentral:rRNA from 1 species
UACAGAGGUGGCAAGCGUUGUUCGGAAUUACUGGGCGUAAAGGGCGCGUAGGCGGUUCGUCAAGUCCUGUGUGAAAUCCCCCGGCUCAACUGGGGAACUGCACAGGAAACUAGCGGGCUUGAGUUCGGGAGAGGGAAGCGGAAUUCCGGGUGUAGCGGUGAAAUGCGUAGAUAUGUGGAGGAAUACCGAUGGCGAAGGCAGCCCCCUGGGAUAACACUGACGCUCAUGCACGAAAGCGUGGGGAGCAAACAGG